rnacentral:rRNA from 1 species
CUCCUUUGACGUUAGCGGCGGACGGGUGAGUAACACGUGGGUAACCUACCUAUAAGACUGGGAUAACUUCGGGAAACCGGAGCUAAUACCGGAUAAUAUUUCGAACCGCAUGGUUCGAUAGUGAAAGGUGGUUUUGCUAUCACUUAUAGAUGGACCCGCGCCGUAUUAGCUAGUUGGUAAGGUAACGGCUUACCAAGGCGACGAUACGUAGCCGACCUGAGAGGGUGAUAGGCCACACUGGAACUGAGACACGGUCCAGACUCCUACGGGAGGCAGCAGUU